rnacentral:rRNA from 1 species
GACGAACGCUGGCGGCGUGCUUAACACAUGCAAGUCGAGCGGUAAGGCCCUUUCGGGGGUACACGAGCGGCGAACGGGUGAGUAACACGUGGGUGACCUGCCCUCAGCUCUGGGAUAAGCCUGGGAAACCGGGUCUAAUACCGGAUAUGACUCCAUGACGCAUGUUGUGGGGUGAAAGCCUUGUGCGGCUGAGGAUGGGCCCGCGGCCUAUCAGCUUGUUGGUGGGGUNUUGGCCACCAAGGCGACGACGGGUAGCCGGCCUGAGAGGGCGACCGGCCACACUGGGACUGAGACACGGCCCAGACUCCUACGGGAGGGCAGCAGUGGGGAAUCUUGCGCAAUGGGCGAAAGCCUGACGCAGCGACGCCGCGUGAGGGAUGACGGCCU